rnacentral:rRNA from 1 species
UAGUCCACGCCGUAAACGAUGAGAACUAGAUGUCGGAAGGGUUUAGCCUUUCGGUGUCGCAGCUAACGCGUUAAGUUCUCCGCCUGGGGAGUACGGUCGCAAGACUAAAACUCAAAGGAAUUGACGGGGACCCGCACAAGCGGUGGAGCAUGUGGUUUAAUUCGAUGCAACGCGAAGAACCUUACCUGCCCUUGACAUUGACAGAAUCCUUUAGAGAUAGAGGAGUGCUUCGGCCUGGAAAACAGGUGCUGCAUGGCUGUCGUCGGCUCGUGUCGUGAGAUGUUGGGUUAAGUCCCGCAACGAGCGCAACCCUCGCCUUUAGUUGCCAGCAUUCAGUUGGGCACUCUAGAGGAACCGCCGGUGAUAAGCCGGAGGAAGGUGGGGAUGACGUCAAGUCCUCAUGGCCCUUACGGGAUGGGCUACACACGUGCUACAAUGGCAGUGACAAUGGGUUAAUCCCCAAAAACUGUCUCAGUUCGGAUUGGGGUCUGCAACUCGACCCCAUGAAGUUGGAAUCGCU